rnacentral:rRNA from 1 species
GUAGGUGGCAAGCGUUGUCCGGAAUUAUUGGGCGUAAAGCGCGCGCAGGUGGUUCUUUAAGUCUGAUGUGAAAGCCCCCGGCUCAACCGGGGAGGGUCAUUGGAAACUGGGGAACUUGAGUGCAGGAGAGGAAAGAGGAAUUCCACGUGUAGCGGUGAAAUGCGUAGAUAUGUGGAGGAACACCAGUGGCGAAGGCGACUUUCUGGCCUGUAACUGACACUGAGGCGCGAAAGCGUGGGGAGCAAACAGGAUUAGAUACCCUGGUAGUCCACGCCGUAAACGAUGAGUGCUAAGUAUCAAAGGGUUUCCCGCCCCUCAGUGCUGCAGCUAACGCAUUAAGCACUCCGCCUGGGGAGUACGGUCGCAAGACUG